CUGGGAGCUUCGGCUCAAUGCCACUGCCCAGCAUCAUGGGAGAGUAUUGUACCGCAUAUCGCUAGCCCGGGAAAAGAUCAAAAUUCAAAAUUUUAAGUCCAGAUUCUAUUG